AAGUCGGCAAAAUAGAUCCGGAAAAGGAUUGACUCUGAUGGCUGGAUGAAUAGCGCCUGUGUGUGCCACGAUUGUCGGGGCUGUGGUGCGCCCUUUCUUGCCUCGCGGUGCGUUUGUGGGCCACCGGCACUGACCUCGAUGUGGCAACCGGUCUGCGUACACAGUGAACACAGCUAAAUCAGAACUGGAGCGGGGAAGGGGAAUCCGAAUGUUUAAUUAAGACAAAGUCUUGCUAUGGCCGCAAACGGUCUUGACAGAACGUGAUUUCUGCCCAUUGCUCUGAAUGCCAAUGCGAUGAAAUUCAAUCAAGCGCGGGUUGACGGCGGGCAUAACUAUGACGUGGAGAAUUCGAGAGCUGGGUUUUGUAGUUGGGCGUUGCGGCACCGAGCAAAAGGGUUUAAAAGGGGAUGCGAGGAAGCGCCACCUCCUACAGCAAGCCCAGGAGUUAGGCCGACCGUCUUCACGCCUCCUAAUAUUACCAUAGUACUACCGAGUGCGUUAGUAUUGUUGUCGUAUUAGUAUAUUAGUGAAGCAUGCAGCUUGUCAUUUAAUUAGUGACGUGCAUGAAUGGAUUGACAAGAUUCCCACUG
rnacentral:ncRNA from 1 species